rnacentral:rRNA from 1 species
AGCGAACGCUGGCGGCAGGCCUAACACAUGCAAGUCGAACGAACCUUUCGGGGUUAGUGGCGGACGGGUGAGUAACACGUGGGAACGUGCCUUUAGGUUCGGAAUAACUCAGGGAAACUUGUGCUAAUACCGAAUGUGCCCUUCGGGGGAAAGAUUUAUCGCCGUUAGAGCGGCCCGCGUCUGUUUAGCUAGUUGGUUGAGGUAAUGGCUCACCAAGGCGACGAUCAGUAGCUGGUCUGAGAGGAUGAUCAGCCACAUUGGGACUGAGACACGGCCCAAACUCCGACGGGAUGCAGCAGUGGGGUAUCUUGCGCAAUGGGCGAAAGCCUGACGUAGCCAUGCCGCGUGAAUGAUGAAGGUCGUAGGAUUGUGAUAUUCUUUCAGCGGAGACGAUAAUGACGGUACCCGGAGAAGAAGCCCCGGCUAACUUCGUG